CAAUAUUAAGAAAUGAAGUGCUGAUGGCCAGCUUCGCAUUAUUUUCAUGAAAGAAGAUCCUCGUCCUUUGACUUCAGAAAGCAACCGUUGGUAUUGUCAACGGAAACCGACCUAGGCGACACAGGACACUGCAACAGAUUUAUUGUCAGGAUAAAUCCUGAGCAAAGCAAGUGUUCUUCCAAGGUCCAGCUGAGCAGAAGGACUGGCAGGAUGGUGCAACGAAAAAAUGAAUCCCUCAAUCCACACGUGGCAUCGUUUAUCAGAGGC
ensembl:lncRNA